rnacentral:lncRNA from 10 species
GCCCCCGAGGGUUCGCGUGAGCGGAGCACGGGGCUCGGGGUGCGGGGGGCUGGUGUGAUGGACGCAUUUGUUCUUCGGUCCCUGACGAUUGUUUCUCAUUUGCCCUCCAAGCCCCAAAUCCUGUCAGUCCACGGCCUUGAUGGAGCGGCCCCCGUGGGACGACCCUGUUGAUUGUGCUAGCGGAUGUUGUCUCCAUUCUGGAUCUGGGAAAAACUGUGGAGUGAAAGCCGGACCUGUUAGGGUUGGGACCUGAAAGCGGACUUUUUCGCUCUCAGACGGGCCCCAGUCUCGAUCUCCUGACCUCGUGAUCCGCCCGCCUCGGCCUCCCAAAGUACUGGCGUGAGCCACCGCGCCGGGCCCCCACUUCUCAACUGAUGACUGCGACACUCCCUUGAGGACGGGAGCUCUUUCAGGCCAGUGGUUUGUUGUUCAUCAAGAUAUCCAAGUACCCGGCAACAUUCCUGGCAUAUAAUAGGAAGGCAGAUCUGGUGAAUGAAUGAAUGAAUGGCGGUAUCUGGAGCAGAGACAAUGUAUGUAUAUAUUGCUAUUUAUAUAAUGU